CAGUCGCCGCGGUAAUACGUAGGUGGCAAGCGUUAUCCGGAAUUAUUGGGCGUAAAGCGCGCGUAGGCGGUUUUUUAAGUCUGAUGUGAAAGCCCACGGCUCAACCGUGGAGGGUCAUUGGAAACUGGAAAACUUGAGUGCAGAAGAGGAAAGUGGAAUUCCAUGUGUAGCGGUGAAAUGCGCAGAGAUAUGGAGGAACACCAGUGGCGAAGGCGACUUUCUGGUCUGUAACUGACGCUGAUGUGCGAAAGCGUGGGGAUCAAACAGGAUUAGAGACCCCAGUAGUCCCUGUCUCUUAUAC
rnacentral:rRNA from 1 species